AGAAAACACAUAUAAUAGCUA
rnacentral:sRNA from 1 species